rnacentral:rRNA from 1 species
AGUAUCGCGUGGGUAAUCUACCUAGAGGUGGGGGAUAGCCUCGGGAAACCGGGGGUAAUACCGCAUGUGUCCUUGAUGACGAAAGUCGACUUGGGCAAAGGCGGGGCUCCUUCGGGACCUGUCGCCACUAGAUGAGCCCGCGUCCGAUUAGCUUGUUGGUGAGGUAAUGGCUCACCAAGGCUUCGAUCGGUAGCCGGCCUGAGAGGGUGGACGGCCACAUUGGGACUGAGACACGGCCCAG